AUUGAACGCUGGCGGCAGGCCUAACACAUGCAAGUCGAGCGGAUGAAGGGAGCUUGCUCCUGGAUUCAGCGGCGGACGGGUGAGUAAUGCCUAGGAGUCUGCCUGGUAGUGGGGGAUAACGUCCGGAAAAGGGCGCUAAUACCGCAUACGUCCUGCGGGAGAAAGUGGGGGAUCGUCGGACCUCACGCUAUCAGAUGAGCCUAGGUCGGAUUAGCUAGUUGGUGGGGUAAAGACCUACCAAGGCGACCAUCCGGAACUGGACUGAGGGGAGGAUUAGUCACACUGGAACUGAGACACGGUCCAGACUCCUACGGGAGGCAGCAGUGGGGAAUGUUGGACAAUGGGCGAAAGCCUGAUCCAGCCAUGCCGCGUGUGUGAAGAAGGUCUUCGGAUUGUAAAGCACUUUAAGUUGGGAGGAAGGGCAGUAAGUUAAUACCUUGCUGUUUUGACGUUACCAACAGAAUAAGCACCGGCUAACUUCGUG
rnacentral:rRNA from 1 species